AGCGUCUGGAAAGGCGCGCGAUACAGGGUGACAGCCCCGUACACAAAAAUGCACAUGCUGUGAGCUCGAUGAGUAGGGCGGGACACGUGGUAUCCUGUCUGAAUAUGGGGGGACCAUCCUCCAAGGCUAAAUACUCCUGACUGACCGAUAGUGAACCAGUACCGUGAGGGAAAGGCGAAAAGAACCCCGGCGAGGGGAGUGAAAAAGAACCUGAAACCGUGUACGUACAAGCAGUGGGAGCACAGAGCAAUCUGUGUGACUGCGUACCUUUUGUAUAAUGGGUCAGCGACUUAUAUUCUGUAGCAAGGUUAACCGAAUAGGGGAGCCGAAGGGAAACCGAGUCUUAACCGGGCGUUAAGUUGCAGGGUAUAGACCCGAAACCCGGUGAUCUAGCCAUGGGCAGGUUGAAGGUUGGGUAACACUAACUGGAGGACCGAACCGACUAAUGUUGAAAAAUUAGCGGAUGACUUGUGGCUGGGGGUGAAAGGCCAAUCAAACCGGGAGAUAGCUGGUUCUCCCCGAAAGCUAUUUAGGUAGCGCCUCGUGAAUUCAUCUCCGGGGGUAGAGCACUGUUUCGGCAAGGGGGUCAUCCCGACUUACCAACCCGAUGCAAACUGCGAAUACCGGAGAAUGUUAUCACGGGAGACACACGGCGGGUGCUAACGUCCGUCGUGAAGAGGGAAACAACCCAGACCGCCAGCUAAGGUCCCAAAGUCAUGGUUAAGUGGGAAACGAUGUGGGAAGGCCCAGACAGCCAGGAUGUUGGCUUAGAAGCAGCCAUCAUUUAAAGAAAGCGUAAUAGCUCACUGGUCGAGUCGGCCUGCGCGGAAGAUGUAACGGGGCUAAACCAUGCACCGAAGCUGCGGCAGCGACACUGUGUGUUGUUGGGUAGGGGAGCGUUCUGUAAGCCUGUGAAGGUGUGCUGUGAGGCAUGCUGGAGGUAUCAGAAGUGCGAAUGCUGACAUAAGUAACGAUAAAGCGGGUGAAAAGCCCGCUCGCCGGAAGACCAAGGGUUCCUGUCCAACGUUAAUCGGGGCAGGGUGAGUCGACCCCUAAGGCGAGGCCGAAAGGCGUAGUCGAUGGGAAACAGGUUAAUAUUCCUGUACUUGGUGUUACUGCGAAGGGGGGACGGAGAAGGCUAUGUUGGCCGGGCGACGGUUGUCCCGGUUUAAGCGUGUAGGCUGGUUUUCCAGGCAAAUCCGGAAAAUCAAGGCUGAGGCGUGAUGACGAGGCACUACGGUGCUGAAGCAACAAAUGCCCUGCUUCCAGGAAAAGCCUCUAAGCAUCAGGUAACAUCAAAUCGUACCCCAAACCGACACAGGUGGUCAGGUAGAGAAUACCAAGGCGCUUGAGAGAACUCGGGUGAAGGAACUAGGCAAAAUGGUGCCGUAACUUCGGGAGAAGGCACGCUGAUAUGUAGGUGAAGUCCCUCGCGGAUGGAGCUGAAAUCAGUCGAAGAUACCAGCUGGCUGCAACUGUUUAUUAAAAACACAGCACUGUGCAAACACGAAAGUGGACGUAUACGGUGUGACGCCUGCCCGGUGCCGGAAGGUUAAUUGAUGGGGUCAGCGCAAGCGAAGCUCUUGAUCGAAGCCCCGGUAAACGGCGGCCGUAACUAUAACGGUCCUAAGGUAGCGAAAUUCCUUGUCGGGUAAGUUCCGACCUGCACGAAUGGCGUAAUGAUGGCCAGGCUGUCUCCACCCGAGACUCAGUGAAAUUGAACUCGCUGUGAAGAUGCAGUGUACCCGCGGCAAGACGGAAAGACCCCGUGAACCUUUACUAUAGCUUGACACUGAACAUUGAGCCUUGAUGUGUAGGAUAGGUGGGAGGCUUUGAAGUGUGGACGCCAGUCUGCAUGGAGCCGACCUUGAAAUACCACCCUUUAAUGUUUGAUGUUCUAACGUGGACCCGUGAUCCGGGUUGCGGACAGUGUCUGGUGGGUAGUUUGACUGGGGCGGUCUCCUCCUAAAGAGUAACGGAGGAGCACGAAGGUUGGCUAAUCCUGGUCGGACAUCAGGAGGUUAGUGCAAUGGCAUAAGCCAGCUUGACUGCGAGCGUGACGGCGCGAGCAGGUGCGAAAGCAGGUCAUAGUGAUCCGGUGGUUCUGAAUGGAAGGGCCAUCGCUCAACGGAUAAAAGGUACUCCGGGGAUAACAGGCUGAUACCGCCCAAGAGUUCAUAUCGACGGCGGUGUUUGGCACCUCGAUGUCGGCUCAUCACAUCCUGGGGCUGAAGUAGGUCCCAAGGGUAUGGCUGUUCGCCAUUUAAAGUGGUACGCGAGCUGGGUUUAGAACGUCGUGAGACAGUUCGGUCCCUAUCUGCCGUGGGCGCUGGAGAACUGAGGGGGGCUGCUCCUAGUACGAGAGGACCGGAGUGGACGCAUCACUGGUGUUCGGGUUGUCAUGCCAAUGGCACUGCCCGGUAGCUAAAUGCGGAAGAGAUAAGUGCUGAAAGCAUCUAAGCACGAAACUUGCCCCGAGAUGAGUUCUCCCUGACCCUUUAAGGGUCCUGAAGGAACGUUGAAGACGACGACGUUGAUAGGCCGGGUGUGUAAGCGCAGCGAUGCGUUGAGCUAACCGGUACUAAUGAACCGUGAGGCUUAACCUUACAACGCCGAAGGUGUUU
rnacentral:rRNA from 1 species